GACGAACGCUGGCGGCGUGCUUAACACAUGCAAGUCGAACGGAAAGGCCCUGCUUUUGUGGGGUGCUCGAGUGGCGAACGGGUGAGUAACACGUGAAUAACCUGCCCUUGACUUUGGGAUAACUUCAGGAAACUGGGGCUAAUACCGGAUAAUAUAUUGAACCGCAUGGUUCAAUAGUGAAAGACGGGUUUGCUGUCACUUAUAGAUGGAUCCGCGCCGCAUUAGCUAGUUGGUAAGGUAACGGCUUACCAAGGCAACGAUGCGUAGCCGACCUGAGAGGGUGAUCGGCCACACUGGAACUGAGACACGGUCCAGACUCCUACGGGAGGCAGCAGUAGGGAAUCUUCCGCAAUGGGCGAAAGCCUGACGGAGCAACGCCGCGUGAGUGAUGAAGGUCUUCGGAUCGUAAAACUCUGUUAUUAGGGAAGAACAAAUGUGUAAGUAACUAUGCACGUCUUGACGGUACCUAAUCAGAAAGCCACGGCUAACUACGUG
rnacentral:rRNA from 1 species